rnacentral:rRNA from 1 species
GACGAACGCUGGCGGCGUGCUUAACACAUGCAAGUCGAACGAAAAGGCCCCUUUGGGGGUACUCGAGUGGCGAACGGGUGAGUAACACGUGAGUAACCUGCCCUUGACUUCGGGAUAACUUCAGGAAACUGGGGCUAAUACCGGAUAGGAAUCCUUGCUGCAUGGUGGGGGUUGGAAAGCUUCGGCGGUUUUGGAUGGACUCGCGGCUUAUCAGCUUGUUGGUGGGGUAGUGGCUUACCAAGGCUUUGACGGGUAGCCGGCCUGAGAGGGCGACCGGCCACAUUGGGACUGAGAUACGGCCCAGACUCCUACGGGAGGCAGCAGUGGGGAAUAUUGCACAAUGGGCGGAAGCCUGAUGCAGCAACGCCGCGUGCGGGAUGACGGCCUUCGGGUUGUAAACCGCUUUCAGCAGGGGCGAAGCUUGUGGUGACGGUACCUGCAGAAGAAGCACCGGCUAACUACGUG